rnacentral:tRNA from 1 species
GCGGAAGUAGCUCAUUUGGUAGAGCGUUGGCCUUCCAAGCCGAAGGUGGCGGGUUCGAGCCCCGUCUUCCGCU